rnacentral:rRNA from 1 species
AACGUAGGAGACAAACGUUAUCCGGAGUUACUGGGCGUAAAGGGCGUGUAGGUGGUUUAGUAAGUCUGGCGUGAAAUUUUUCGGCUUAACCGGGAAAGGUCGUCGGAUACUGCAAGACUAGAGGACGGUAGAGGCGUGUGGAAUUCCGGGUGUAGGGGUGAAAUGCGUAGAGAUCCGGAGGAACACCAGUGGCGAAGGCGACGCGCUGGGCCGUACCUGACACUGAUGCGCGACAGCAUGGGGAGCAAACAGG